rnacentral:siRNA from 1 species
ACCUGACUGGUAUUCUGCUUGCC